AUGCUCCAGCAUUUGCAGCAACAAUUUAAACAUGCCCAGGACCGUAUGAAGAAGCAAGCAGACAAGCAUAGGACGAACAGAGAGUUUGAAGUGGGUGACAUGGUGUUUCUCAAACUCCAGCCAUUCAUCCAAACAUUGAUUGCGCAGAGGCCGUACCAGAAACUAGCAUUUCGCUACUACGGGUUGUACUGUGUCGAAGCUCGCGUGGGUGCUGUUGCCUACAAGCUGAAGUUGCCGGAGGGCGCCAAAAUACACCCCGUGGUGCAUGUGUCACAACUGAAACGAGCGAUCGGCGCCGAUGUUUCUAUAAGUGCUCAACUUCCUCCUGCUAACCACAUUCUGCAGGCGAAGCAUCAGCCAGAGGCAAUCCUUGACAGCAAGAACAUCCAAGUCCAAGGGAAGUCUGCAUCGCGAGUCUUAGUGUUGUGGUGCAACUUGCCAUCAUCUUUGCCGACCUGGGAAGACCCUGCAAGGCUUCAAUAG
rnacentral:rRNA from 1 species